CACUGGAGCUUUGAGAAUGCCAACUCCGGGAGAAGUCAUUGCGGCCUCAGGAGAGAUCAACAAGAGCUGUCCUAUCGGGAGCACGGAGAGUGGGGCGGAAGUUCCUCACUCGCCAUUUUUCUUCUUGGCGCCGAGGCAUUCGCAUUGCUGUUUUGUUAGCUGAAUGUGUCUGGGUUGGCUGAGCCUCCGAGGCGGUGAGACGGCCGCGCACACGGGAGACUUGGGUGUAGACUUGGUACAAACUCAGACUGAUUCCGGGCAAGAGUAUCCUCGCUGGUGAAGGAGGGAGCAUUUCUACCUGUGGAGUCAGGCAGUGGGCAUGGAGACUAUGACCUUUGAGGAUAUAGCUGUCAUCUUUACUUUGGAAUAGUGGGCUUUGCUGGAUCCUUCUCAGAUGAAAUUCUACAGAGAUGUAAUGGAGGAAACUUUCAGGAAUCUGGCCUCUAUAGAACAAGCACAGGAAUGCCAGAAUAUUGAAGAUAGCCACAAAAUUUCCUGGAGACUAAGUUCCAGGGAAUUCAAUGCAUUCUUCUAGGACCAGGAAAGAAGAUGGUAUACAACUGUACAAGAAAGUAACAUACCACACACAUAAAAUAAAAAUAAGUCUUUUAAAAAGUUUU